CCUACGGGUGGCAGCAGUCGAGAAUCAUUCACAAUGGGGGAAACCCUGAUGGGGCGACGCCGCGUGGGGGAAUGAAGGUCUGCGGAUUGUAAACCCCUGUCAUGUGGGAGCAAAUUAAAAAGAUAGUACCACAAGAGGAAGAGACGGCUAACUCUGUGCCAGCAGCCGCGGUAAUACAGAGGUCUCAAGCGUUGUUCGGAAUCACUGGGCGUAAAGCGUGCGUAGGCUGUUUCGUAAGUCGUGUGUGAAAGGCGCGGGCUCAACCCGCGGACGGCACAUGAUACUGCGAGACUAGAGUAAUGGAGGGGGAACCGGAAUUCUCGGUGUAGCAGUGAAAUGCGUAGAUAUCGCGAGGAACACUCGUGGCGAAGGCGGGUUCCUGGACAUUAACUGACGCUGAGGCACGAAGGCCAGGGGAGCGAAAAGGAUUAGAUACCCGAGUAGUC
rnacentral:rRNA from 1 species